rnacentral:rRNA from 1 species
ACGCUCGACACCUACGGGGCAGCAGUGGGGAAUAUUGCACAAUGGGGGAAACCCUGAUGCAGCGACGCCGCGUGGAGGAAGAAGGUCUUCGGAUUGUAAACUCCUGUUGUUGGGGAAAAAGAGGAUGGUACCCAACAAGGAAGUGACGGCUAACUACGUGCUAGCAGCCGCGGUAAUCUGAGCGGGCUGGCAAGGC